rnacentral:rRNA from 1 species
AUUGAACGCUGGCGGAAUGCUUUACACAUGCAAGUCGAACGGCAGCACGGGUGCUUGCACCUGGUGGCGAGUGGCGAACGGGUGAGUAAUACAUCGGAACGUACCCAGUCGUGGGGGAUAACGUAGCGAAAGUUACGCUAAUACCGCAUACGUCCUGAGGGAGAAAGCGGGGGACCGUAAGGCCUCGCGCGGUUGGAGCGGCCGAUGGCGGAUUAGCUAGUUGGGGGGGGAAAGGCCUACCAAGGCGACGAUGCGUAGCGGGUCUGAGAGGACGGCCCGCCACACUGGAACUGAGACACGGUCCAGACUCCUACGGGAGGCAGCAGUGGGGAAUUUUGGACAAUGGGCGAAAGCCUGAUCCAGCCAUUCCGCGUGAGUGAAGAAGGCCUUCGGGUUGUAAAGCUCUUUCGGCAGGGAAGAAACGGCUUGGGAUAAUACCCCGGGCUAAUGACGGUACCUGAAGAAGAAGCACCGGCUAACUACGUGCCAGCAGCCGCCGUAA